rnacentral:rRNA from 1 species
GAGUUUGAUCCUGGCUCAGAUUGAACGCUGGCGGCAUGCCUUACACAUGCAAGUCGAACGGCAGCACGGGAGCUUGCUCCUGGUGGCGAGUGGCGAACGGGUGAGUAAUGCAUCGGAACGUAUCCUGGAGUGGGGGAUAACGUAGCGAAAGUUACGCUAAUACCGCAUAUUCUGUGAGCAGGAAAGCGGGGGACCUUCGGGCCUCGCGCUCUUGGAGCGGCCGAUGUCGGAUUAGCUAGUUGGUGAGGUAAAGGCUCACCAAGGCGACGAUCCGUAGCAGGUCUGAGAGGAUGAUCUGCCACACUGGAACUGAGACACGGUCCAGACUCCGUACGGGAGC